rnacentral:misc_RNA from 1 species
GAUGAAGAACGCAGCGAAAUGCGAUAAGUAGUGUGAAUUGCAGAAUUCAGUGAAUCAUCGAAUCUUUGAACGCACAUUGCGCCUCUUGGUAUUCCAUGGGGCAUGCCUGUUCGAGCGUCAUUUGUACCUUCAAGCUUUGCUUGGUGUUGGGUGUUUGUCCCUCGGGACUCGCCUUAAAGUCAUUGGCAGCCAGUGUUUUGGUUUUGAAGCGCAGCACAAGUCGCGAUUCAAGGCUAUCCGCCCGCUUCCACAAGCCUUUUUCACUUUUGACCUCGGAUCAGGUAGGGAUACCCGCUGAACUUAAGCAUAUCAAUAAGCGGAGGA